UUGGUAGAUUACAUUGAAAAUAUCGAAGUAUUGACAUCUUAAGUAUGCACUAUUUGUGUUUUGGUAAAAUUUUCAAUAAUUCUUAACAUGUUUUUGUAUAAAUUACUUUGGUCACCAUCCAGGAUCCAAUAAGUGUUUCAAUUUCAUCAGAAGUGAUAACUUUUGAUUGCAGCACAAUUUCAUUAUGUUCAAGCAAUUUUCUGGAUCCUAAUAUUUUUGCUAAGGAAUUCCUCACGCUGUUAUGUUCGAAAAAUGCACAAAUCAUUGUAUGUUGACAAUACUUAUAAAUUCUGCUGAUUCUGAAGCCAGAAAUGAACUAUUAUUAAAUUA
rnacentral:lncRNA from 1 species